rnacentral:rRNA from 1 species
CCUACGGGGAGCAGCAGUGGGGAAUAUUGGACAAUGGGCGAAAGCCUGAUCCAGCCAUGCCGCGUGUGUGAAGAAGGCCUUCGGGUUGUAAAGCACUUUCAGUGGGGAAGAAAGCCUUGGGGCUAAUACCCUCGAGGAAGGACAUCACCCACAGAAGAAGCACCGGCUAACUCCGUGCCAGCAGCCGCGGUAAUACGGAGGGUGCGAGCGUUAAUCGGAAUUACUGGGCGUAAAGCGCGCGUAGGCGGUCUGAUAAGCCGGUUGUGAAAGCCCCGGGCUCAACCUGGGAACGGCAUCCGGAACUGUCAGGCUAGAGUGCAGGAGAGGAAGGUAGAAUUCCCGGUGUAGCGGUGAAAUGCGUAGAGAUCGGGAGGAAUACCAGUGGCGAAGGCGGCCUUCUGGACUGACACUGACGCUGAGGUGCGAAAGCGUGGGUAGCAAACAGGAUUAGAUACCCGAGUAGU